ACUCUUAUCGCAGCUUUCAGUCCAGUCUGUCCCCCUCGCUCGGCACAUUCAAAGCGGUCGUCUAAAACGCGUGUCUAAGUUUCGCAUUCUUUUUUCUUUUUCAACAAGUCAGUGAAAUCAAUCGGUUCUAGAUUCCAAACCGCGACAUGAUCUAUCAUGUAAGCUCUCGCUAAACGCACCAUUUAAUUCAGUUUUGUUGCGGUUCUUUUUGGUUUUUGUAUUUUCAAUGUUUUUUCGCUAAGAGUGAGAGCGAAAGCAAGAGUGAUUGAAAGCACAGCUUGACUGAAAGAGGUGCCGGGCGAAAAGAUGCACAAGGCACAAAGGGCAAAAAGUGAGUGUAAGUGCGAGUGAAAAACGGCCUCAAAGCGAAAGGCAGAAACGACGUCCGAUUUCUGGGCAGAGCUUUGAGGCUGCAAGCAAGGCGUAACAGAAAACGAAACAGAAGAGGACACGAGAGCACGGCAGCACUGGAGCACGGAACAGGAACAGGAACAGGAACAGAAGGAGCUCUGGCCAUCAGGAUGGAGACCGAUUCAAUUAUGAUUCAUCUCUUAGGAUUUUGCUGGCGAAAUCAAUGCGAAUGGAGCGCUCAGAUGCAGUUUUUGAUUGCUGGUUUUUUGGCUGCCGCCUGGCAGCCGGCCGUAAUAAAUAUAAUUAUAAUUUAAAUGUAGUUUUAUGUGUGGGAA